UACGUAGGGAGCGAGCGUUAUCCGGAUUUAUUGGGUGUAAAGGGUGCGUAGGCGGUUUAACAGGUCUAUGGUCUAAUUCCGAAGCUUAACUUCGGUUCGCCAUAGAAACCGUUUUACUUGAGUAUGGUAGAGGCAAGUGGAAUUUCUAGUGUAGCGGUUAAAUGCGUAGAUAUUAGAAGGAACACCAGUGGCGAAGGCGACUUGCUGGGCCAUCACUGACGCUGAGGCACGAAAGCGUGGGGAGCAAAUAGG
rnacentral:rRNA from 1 species